GCCGCAGGACCAUGACACACACAACACAAAAAAUGGUUUUGCAGGUACCAUGUAUUUAACCAAACCCCAAAAAAGAAUAACAAGAAAAGAAAAACUUAAAUAAUCACUCCUGCUGCAGCUAUCCAAUUAAUCAAAAACCCAGUGAGGGUACACAAAGACAACUAAACAGAUUUAUCUGGCUUAUACCAAGCAACACAGGUUCUCAAAAACAGUUCCCCCAUAAACACCACAUGUUAAUAUCAAAUCCACUGAUCCACACUGAAGUCCAUGAGUUUAAUCUGAAUGUCCAUGAGAGAUGUCCAAGCGCUAUUGUCCAUAAAUGAAAGGAAUGGUGUGUAUGAUUGCGGAAAUCAGUGUAUUUGGAAAAUGGGGACAGAGCGUUGUCUUUGAUAGCUUCCUACCCAACCGGUGGAAGCGUCAAUUGCAGAAUGUGUCCUGCUCCUAGCCGUUCAUUGGCUCGCCAUCCUUUUCCAUACCCCAAAAAGGUUCACCUGGCCUGCAUUAAAUAAACAAGGCCAAUAAGAAAUCACAAGAAUAAUACAAAAAUGUCAGCCAAUUAAGCUAAAUACAUUAAGUUAUUCUUGUUCCUGUGUACACAAUUUAUAAAUAAAUAAACAAACAAUAUAUUGGUUAAAUAUAAUAUUCCUAACCAAUAAGGAUUUAACUGAAAACAUUUCAACUGCUACAUACAUACAUACUAUGUAGCUCCACAACAUUUGUUAUUCAACAACUAUCAGUCAAAUCAAAAUCAAAUUGUUUGGACCGGCAGCAGCCGAUUAGCGUCAGCUGGUAGCAAUACAAACACUCAAUUAAAAGUUCAAACUCACCAAUUCCGUUCUGUUCAGUGCACAACAACAUUAUGGCUCUGGCUCACAGUAAUCAGCAUCUAAGUUGCAUAAGUUAGUUGGUGUUAAAAAAAUGCAU